rnacentral:rRNA from 1 species
GUAAGUUAUUAAGGGCACACGGUGGAUGCCUUGGCAUUAAGAGCCGAUGAAGGACGUGUGAAUCUGCGAUAAGCCUCGGGGAGCCGAUAACUGGGCUGUGAUCCGAGGAUUUCCGAAUGGGGAAACCUGGCUCAUCUUCAUGGUGAGUUACCGCCAGCUGAAUGUAUAGGCUGGUUGGGGGGAACGCGGGGAAGUGAAACAUCUCAGUACCCGCAGGAAGAGAAAAUAAAGUAAUGAUUCUGUGAGUAGUGGCGAGCGAAAGCGGAAGAGACUAAACCUGUGGUGUGUGAUAGCGGUUAGGCGUUGCAUCAUGGGGGUUGUGGGAGUCACAGUGGCAGUUCUAACUGGCUGCCGGCAUGAUGUUCAGGAUGGUAGGUGAACGACUUGGAAUGGUCGGCCGUAGAGGGUGAGAGUCCCGUAAUCGAAAUUGUUCUGUCCGUGGUGUGGCCACCCGAGUAGCACGGGGCUCGUGGAAUCUCGUGUGAAUCUGCCAGGACCACCUGGUAAGUCUAAAUACUUCUUAAUGACCGAUAGUGAAUCAGUACCGUGAGGGAAUGGUGAAAAGUACCCCGGGAGGGGAGUGAAAUAGUACCUGAAACCGUGUGCUUACAAGCCGUUGGAGCCUUUUGGGGUGACAGCGUGCCUUUUGAAGAAUGAGCCUGCGAGUUAGUGUUAUGUCGCGAGGUUAACCCGUGUGGGGUAUCCGUAGCGAAAGCGAGUCUGAAUAGGGCGUUUGAGUGGCAUGACCUAGACCCGAAGCGGAGUGAUCUAUCCAUGGCCAGGUUGAAGCGACGGUAAGACGUCGUGGAGGACCGAACCCACUUCAGUUGAAAAUGGAGGGGAUGAGCUGUGGAUAGGGGUGAAAGGCCAAUCAAACUCUGUGAUAGCUGGUUCUCCCCGAAAUGCAUUUAGGUGCAGCGUUACGUGUUUCUUGCCGGAGGUAGAGCUACUGGAUGGCCGAUGGGCCUUCACGGGUUACUGACGUCAGCUAAACUCCGAAUGCCGGUAAGUGAGAGCGUAGCAGUGAGACAGUGGGGGAUAAGCUUCAUUGUCGAGAGGGAAACAGCCCAGACCAUCAACUAAGGCCCCUAAGCGUGUGCUAAGUGGGAAAGGAUGUGGAGUUGCUGAGACAACCAGGAGGUUGGCUUAGAAGCAGCCAUCCUUGAAAGAGUGCGUAAUAGCUCACUGGUCAAGUGAUUCUGCGCCGAUAAUGUAGCGGGGCUCAAGUACACCGCCGAAGUUGUGGCAAUGACCUUUUUUGGUUGUUGGGUAGGGGAGCGUCGUGUAGCCGGUGAAGCUGCGGUGUAAACCAGUGGUGGAGGCUAUGCGAGUGAGAAUGCAGGCAUGAGUAGCGAAAGAUGAGUGAGAAACUCAUCCGCCGGAUGAUCAAGGGUUCCAGGGUCAAGUUAAUCUGCCCUGGGUUAGUCGGGGCCUAAGGCGAGGCCGACAGGCGUAGUCGAUGGAUAACGGGUUGAUAUUCCCGUACCGGUGAAAAACCGCCCAUACUGAUAUUGUGAUGCUAACCAUGCGAAGCAUGAUGUGCAGGCUUUUGUUUGUGUGUUGUGUGGGUUGUGGGACCCGAUCUUUGGAGGUAAACGUAUUAACAGGUGUGACGCAGGAAGGUAGCCAAGCCACGCGAUGGUUGUCGUGGUCUAAGCGUGUAGGGUUGUCGGUUGUUAAAUGCGCCGGCUGUGUGCCUGAGACGUGAUGGGACCCCGUUUUUGGGGGAUUUGGUGAUCCUAUGCUGCCGAGAAAAGCAUCGGCGUGAGGUUUUAGCCGCCCGUACCCUAAACCGACACAGGUGAUCAGGUAGAGAAUACUAAGGCGAUCGAGAGAAUCAUGGUUAAGGAACUCGGCAAAAUGCCCCCGUAACUUCGGGAGAAGGGGGGCCCUGAGCGUGAUCUGCCCGUGCGGUGGGGAGCGUGUAGGGGUCGCAGAGACCAGGGGGAAGCGACUGUUUAUCAAAAACACAGGUCCGUGCGAAGUCGUAAGACGAUGUAUACGGACUGACUCCUGCCCGGUGCUGGAAGGUUAAGAGGAUUGGUUAGCCCUUUUGGGCGAAGCUGAGAAUUUAAGCCCCAGUAAACGGCGGUGGUAACUAUAACCAUCCUAAGGUAGCGAAAUUCCUUGUCGGGUAAGUUCCGACCUGCACGAAUGG